rnacentral:lncRNA from 1 species
UUUGGACUUCUGACCUCCAGAACUGUUUUCCUAUAAGAAAUUCUACUUUAUGGUUCCUGUUUCUCAGAUCUACUUAAAAAAUAGACGGUUAAUUCAUCUCCCUGUGUUUGGACAAUGACAAUGGCACCUUUAUGGAGCACGUGGGUGAAUAUUACAAUUAAGAGAUUCGAUUUAGUUACCUCUUUAAACAAAAGGUACUCUCCUAUAUAUGUUCUGCUUGAUUUGUUAUUUUGGUUCCUGGCCGUAAUUCCUGAGAUUUCAAAUUGAAUGAUUGUUAUUUUGUUCUUUAAUUACUGUUCUUAAUAUAGGCAGGUAUCUGCCUGAUAUGUUAAUAUUCACUUAUUAAUCCAAAAAAAUGUGAUUAGUCACUUACUCUGUGUUGGGUGAAUUCAAGGCAUUCUCUUAACUUUGUAACAGGUAGCAGAGCCCAAUGUGGAGAAGUGGGGUAGAAGAGACCUUCAGGCUAGUACAUCCUUCAAGUUUCUGAGGUUCUCAUUCAAGUAAUGCAGUCAGAAGUACUCAGAGGAAGAAAGAACUGACACAGAAUAUGGAUGUCCCGUGCUUUACUACCUGUCUCAUCCACACUUGAAACUGAGGUAGAGUGAAAGCCAUCCUCUAUGUUUUUCAGCUCCAAGAGGUAAGAAGGCAUCUCAGCAUGAAUAACUCUGAUGAACAAAUGGCAUUUCUGGGCUGAUCACUUAACAAAAAUGUGUGCUGGGCAAGGAAAAAGCCAUGCUGAUUCCUUUCGUUCUGUGCCCAGUGGCCCUACCACUGGUGAGUGUAGGACGGCUGAUUAUUGAAGACUAGAAAACUUUUCCACUUUUCCUUAUGAGACUGGCAACAAUUUCUGAGACAAAGAACACUCUUGGCCCUGCAGGCAACCAUGCAGCACCAAUGUAUAAUCGGAAAACAUGCUCUAAAUGGUUGGCCUGGACUCUCAGGAGACCUUGUUCUUGGUGUGCCGGUGUGUGACAUGGUGGGGCACCAACUUCACUUCUGGGAGCACAACUCCCCUGCUGGGACCAGAGGGAAAGGCUUCCAUCCCCCUCAGAAACAUCUGUAUUAAGGGCAGAGAAAGCUCUGGUUUUCAUUGGCUCCAUUACAAUAUUAUAGUGCCAAAUAUCUCCUAAACUAUAACCAAUGUGAGGAAUGGACUAUUUCAUUUGCAAGCUGAAAAAUCAGGUAAAUAUGAGCAUUUCUUUAUUUAGUUAGUAGGAAAAAAUCAUUCUAGAUUGUCCAUGUGGGACCAUUCCUAGCCACGGGUGGGCUAUUGCUUUACACUCGGCUGAAGUUACAGCACCGGGUGGGGAGGCAUGAUUAUAGAAACAGAGUUAGGGACAAAUGCCAACAUGAACAUGUAUUAUAUAAACAGAGCUCAAACUACCUCCAUACACUCUGAAUUUAGAAAUGUUACCAAUCCACAGAUGAAAAACAUUCUCACAAGUAUCUAAGUCUGGGAUAACAUAAAGUGAAUGGACAGUGCAUUGAGCGCUAGAAGCACUGUUAGGAAUUUCUCAUGCCUUGUGCUACUUGGCGGCUUCACAAGCAACCGAAGGAAUGGGACAGCCAAUCAAAGUAGUUCAUUUAACCUUUCAAAUUUCCAGAUGCUGGUCUUGUCUCUGCUCCUGUUUGGGUAACUGCCAUGAUGUUCCCUUUCCAAUAAAACCUGGUGUGCAACACUCCCCCUGGGUGCU